UGAGUAAUACAUCGGAACGUGUCUUCUAGUGGGGGAUAACUGCCCGAAAGGGCAGCUAAUACCGCAUGAGACCUGAGGGUGAAAGCGGGGGAUCGCAAGACCCCGCGCUGGAAGAGCGGCCGAUGUCCGAUUAGCUAGUUGGUGAGGUAAAGGCUCACCAAGGCGACGAUCGGUAGCUGGUCUGAGAGGACGACCAGCCACACUGGGACUGAGACACGGCCCAG
rnacentral:rRNA from 1 species